UACGAAGGGGGCUAGCGUUGCUCGGAAUCACUGGGCGUAAAGCGCACGUAGGCGGGUCUUUAAGUCAGGGGUGAAAUCCCGGAGCUCAACUCCGGAACUGCCUUUGAUACUGGAGAUCUUGAGUCCGGGAGAGGUGAGUGGAACUCCGAGUGUAGAGGUGAAAUUCGUAGAUAUUCGGAAGAACACCAGUGGCGAAGGCGGCUCACUGGCCCGGUACGUGACGCUGAGGUGCGAAAGCGUGGGGAGCAAACAGGG
rnacentral:rRNA from 1 species